rnacentral:rRNA from 1 species
CACGGGGGGAGCAAGCGUUGUUCGGAAUUACUGGGCGUAAAGCGUGCGCAGGCGGUCUUGUAAGCCAGAUGUGAAAGCCCCGGGCUCAACCUGGGAACUGCAUUUGGGACUGCAAGGCUGGAGUACGGCAGAGGGAGGUGGAAUUCCACGUGUAGCAGUGAAAUGCGUAGAGAUGUGGAGGAACACCGAUGGCGAAGGCAGCCUCCUGGGCUAGUACUGACGCUCAUGCACGAAAGCGUGGGGAGCAAACAGG